GCUGGGGUGGCGGAAUUGGCAUACGCGCACGUUUGAGGGGCGUGUUCCUAAAAGGAAUGCGGGUUCAAGUCCCGCCCCCAGCA
rnacentral:tRNA from 1 species